UUGCAAUAAGGAAUUUAGACAUAUAUACUAGUCCUUUGCCCAUGGAGACAUGGCGUGCAAUGAUUGCAAACAUCAGCCUCUUUGGUAGUGUAUGUAGCCUGUUGCCUAUAUGUGUUGCCAUGAAGGACCUUGGAGACAAUU